GUUGCCGUUUGCUGUUUUUUCACAAAUUAAUAUUUCUUCUCAAUAUUCUGAUUUUGGAUACCACUGGCGACAUCUAUUGGCGUGAUUUAGAAUUAAUUUGCAAUAGAUGGCGCUUUUUGCUCAGUUAAUUGAAAUAUACUUUAUUGAAACAUUUCCUAAUGUUUUUAUUUUGAUUAUUCUAUUUUUUAAUAGAAUAUUUUCAGUGUUCAGGAGAUUGUUUUCAUCAUGGUUUUUAUUAGUAUUUGCUUUUUACCUAAGCGGCGAAACGAAACGUCUUGCGAUGUCAAUGACUUGCAGGCUGUCAGUUGAGCUGUCAAAUCACUUUGGAAUUUUGGUCGAUCUUGCGCAACCGCAAUUUUAUUAUUUUCGGGGAUGUAAUCCCCUGUGUUUUAAAUCGUGUGUUGCAGAAUGCAUCCACGAUAAUUUCAUAAUAUAAUUUAAAAUAAUCACACAUGAGAAAUUCCCUAAAUCCUGUUCGGUUGAGGGUAUUGGGAUGCUGAAGACUGUGAGUGAAGCUCAGAUUAGCGAACGGUCUUCGUAAGUAUUUCUUUCCCAUUGCGGUUUUUUUCAUAACCUAAUGCCACGUUCCACAUGUGAUCCUGACACUCGUGUUUUUCGUUUCAGAUGCGGGAAUUUCAGAUUUCAUAAUUUUACAAAUGUUUAUAGUUCUAACAUUUCAUAGAUUUCAUAUUUUACAAUAUUUUGUAGUUUAAACAAUUUCAAAUUUCGUAUUUUACAAUUUCAUAUUUUACGAUUUUACAUUUCAUAUUUUAGAUAUUUCAAUAUUUCAUAUUGAUUUCUAUAAUUAUUACUCCUUUCUGAACUGCUGAUCUCUUCGCAUUUCCUCCUUGUCAUCAAACCUCUGUCUCUGCAAGAGUUUGAACGCUUUCCUGUCGAGAAAAUGCAAGAGCUUCAUCUGGUACUGCGCGCUUGAGGCCGUGGAGGACGCUGCUUGUAGCCUAAAAGUGUGCGAGACCCGUUAGACCCCGGAAGAAGAGAGGAACGUUCAGGGUAACGGCUUAUAACCGCAUGGCUUCCAAGGUACCCACUUUUCCAUCCUUCAAGUAGGAGUCUUUCCGACCUGACAUCGCGCAGUUAUCUUAACUAGUAGAGUCUUUUAAUAUUUAGGCUGAGUUUUAAGAAAUUUGUAGUGGCAAUAAUAUUCACCAAACCGAACCUAAUUAACGACCCUGAAUCCCUUGAGAUUGGCACUAUUACAGUAGUUAUUAUAAUAUCGUAAUUGUUAACUAUAUAGGAGCAUACGAGAUAAAAAUAAAUUGUGUCAAUUGAGAGGGAGCUGUUUUAUUUACAUUUUCUAAUUUCACACAAGGAACGGUAACUUAUAUAAAUUUCUGCAAGCCGGACAACCUCUUUUUCACGUGCAGACAACUCACCAUCUUCUCCGUCUGCACCGGUGGCGGUUCAAUUCCAGUCACAAAGCCGCCAGGAAAAAAUCCUUUCUUGCAGUGGCGCCCAUCUUUUGAUGUUUAUUAUUGCCACAUUUUUUUAUGAAGUUUAUGGGUGGAAAGCCAAUAAUAGAAGCAACAUUGUGUGCUGACUAUCCGCUCAUACACUUCUAUUUUGUUGUUAAAUAUUUUUUUUAUUAGGGAAUCUCUCAUGUGUGUGCUGUUGUUUGUCUUGUUAUUUUUUGUUGUUUAUUUUAUUUGUGAUGCCCACAUAUUUUUUUUUAUUUAGGAUGUCAACUUACAUAUUAUUAUGUUAACCAUUAUAACAGAGCGUACUACUCUAUAUGAGGUUAGUUUACAUGAUGUUAGGUUACAUAUUUUUUGUGUUGCAACUCUUAUUUUUUACAUUAUGUUGGGACAAGUAAGUAACAUUUUUUUUGUUAGGUUAUAUUUAUUUUAUACCUACAUUGCUUUUGGGCUUUAUAGCUUAUAACUUUUAGUUACUUACUUUAAUUAUUUUGUUUUUUCAUACAAGACAAACACAGUUUUAAUUUUAAUUUUAGUGUUUAUUAAUUUGUACUCAUAAUAAGUGAGUACAUAAUGUAUUUUAAAGUGCCUACCCGGAUGUUUUGUUACAUAAUGCUAACUGAUAACUUUAACGUUGUUUAUGUACUAAGGUAACAAAUUGCUUUUGUGUCACUAUGACAUAUAAACUUUUAUUUCUUGUUACCUAGUACACAUUAUUUUGUAUUAAUUACAUAAUGUUAGCAUAAUAUUAUAACUUUUAUUAGUUUUUGGCAAAUAUUUGUUUACAUUUGUGGAAAUGUUUUGAAUCUUAAGUAAUGGAUUUUAAUUAAGUAAAUACAGUUAUACCUAUUAGUUAUUUAGGCAUUAUACUGCAGUGUAUUAUAAAGUUUGGUACUUAAUGACUUAAUGUUAUUACUGGUUAGUGAGUUGUUUGUGGGUACACUUACUAACUUGUUGAUUUUUAUACGGGAAUAACUUAAUUGAUUUGUUUUGGUUUGAUAACAAUUUAAAGUUAUUAAUUUUAGUAAAGUGCCAUUCUUCUUGUAUAACUUUUGUGUAGUUUAAUUAUUAAUGAUAAUAAUUUUCAUAUAACUUUUGGAAAAUAUUUUUGCCACAUAGUUUUUUUUUUUUUUCAAAAAUAUUUUUAUUAUGCUACCUUCUUUAAGGAAGUUUUUUUUUUUUAAAUUAUUGUUAUGCCAAGGUUCUCAGUCGUAGGACUUAGGAUUUUUUUUUCUGGGUAGGUAGGUACUUUACUUUCAUAACUAACUUAUGAGUUUAGUUUUUUUUUUUGGACACAAUCGUAUUGUGUAAUGUUUUUCUGUUGGGAAUUUAAUAACGGUAGAUUGUUUUAUCGCAGUUUUUUUUUUGGACACAAUAGUAUUGUGUAGUUUUUCUGUUAGGAAUUUAUUAACGGUAGAUUCUUUUAGCAAAGUUUUUUUUUGGACACAAUCGAGUUGUCGGGUAUCUGCUACAGUUUUGCCUCGGUGCUUUAUCUGUAACUUGAAAGUUCAGAUAUUUUUUUUUUCCCAGAGGUUUUAUCUCUGUGUUUUUGUUUUGUUUUGUUUGAGUGCUAUGUAUCUCCUAUAUACAUGCCUCGUUUGUUUUGUCUUUUCCAGGGAUGACAUCAUGUGCUUCUAUGCACUAUUCCCUGUGUUUUGUGUUUUGUUGCGAUGACGUCCAAUUUAUAUUGUGGCCAGCGACAUUUUUGUUCUGUGGUUUUUAACCCAGACAUUUUUUCUAGGGAUGACAUGUGUUGAAAUAUACACUUUCCCUAGGGCCCACUGGAUGGCUAUUCCAGAAAAUAUGUUCGUAAUGGCCGAAAUAGCCUUACAACGUUACUGGGGAUUCGAGUACCACUGGUUCACAGUUGGGACUCUAUGGGUAAUUUUGAAUGCAGGUGGCUAGCAGUGUAAAUUGAAACUGAUGCUUACAGGAAUGAAAGAGAGGUAUGAAAGAUGAUUGUAUGUUAGUGUUGGGUUUUAUUUAUGCUCGGACAGCAGAGAUUGUUUUAGGUUUGAAGAACAUCAGUCCUGGUAGUUGGUUUUCAUCUGGUUUGUUGUGCUUAGUGAAAAGUCAGUUUGUUUUUGUUCCUGUUAUGUCAGCAUACCCUACAACUCGUUGUUUGUUUUCUCGAUUUUUUUUUUCAGUUGAAGUUUCUGCUGGAACCCUUUUUUCUUUUGAGGUCUUUCUGCGUUUAGACACAUUUUUUUUUCUUUUUCAGUUUGUAGUUCGCUGAGGGCAGCUCAGAUUCUUUCUCCGUGCGAAUGUCUAGGGGGGAGGGUAUUGUAACGUUGCCGUUUGCUGUUUUUUCACAAAUUAAUAUUUCUUCUCAAUAUUCUGAUUUUGGAUACCACUGGCGACAUCUAUUGGCGUGAUUUAGAAUUAAUUUGCAAUAGAUGGCGCUUUUUGCUCAGUUAAUUGAAAUAUACUUUAUUGAAACAUUUCCUAAUGUUUUUAUUUUGAUUAUUCUAUUUUUUAAUAGAAUAUUUUCAGUGUUCAGGAGAUUGUUUUCAUCAUGGUUUUUAUUAGUAUUUGCUUUUUACCUAAGCGGCGAAACGAAACGUCUUGCGAUGUCAAUGACUUGCAGGCUGUCAGUUGAGCUGUCAAAUCACUUUGGAAUUUUGGUCGAUCUUGCGCAACCGCAAUUUUAUUAUUUUCGGGGAUGUAAUCCCCUGUGUUUUAAAUCGUGUGUUGCAGAAUGCAUCCACGAUAAUUUCAUAAUAUAAUUUAAAAUAAUCACACAUGAGGUAAGUUCCCGUCGGAGAAUUUAUUUAUUUUUCGUGAUUGAUAAUUUUCGUAUUCCAGUACGUGGUAUUUCAUGUCAUCGUUUCUUUCAGAAAUUCCCUAAAUCCUGUUCGGUUGAGGGUAUUGGGAUGCUGAAGACUGUGAGUGAAGCUCAGAUUAGCGAACGGUCUUCGUAAGUAUUUCUUUCCCAUUGCGGUUUUUUUCAUAACCUAAUGCCACGUUCCACAUGUGAUCCUGACACUCGUGUUUUUCGUUUCAGAUGCGGGAAUUUCAGAUUUCAUAAUUUUACAAAUGUUUAUAGUUCUAACAUUUCAUAGAUUUCAUAUUUUACAAUAUUUUGUAGUUUAAACAAUUUCAAAUUUCGUAUUUUACAAUUUCAUAUUUUACGAUUUUACAUUUCAUAUUUUAGAUAUUUCAAUAUUUCAUAUUGAUUUCUAUAAUUAUUACUCCUUUCUGAACUGCUGAUCUCUUCGCAUUUCCUCCUUGUCAUCAAACCUCUGUCUCUGCAAGAGUUUGAACGCUUUCCUGUCGAGAAAAUGCAAGAGCUUCAUCUGGUACUGCGCGCUUGAGGCCGUGGAGGACGCUGCUUGUAGCCUAAAAGUGUGCGAGACCCGUUAGACCCCGGAAGAAGAGAGGAACGUUCAGGGUAACGGCUUAUAACCGCAUGGCUUCCAAGGUACCCACUUUUCCAUCCUUCAAGUAGGAGUCUUUCCGACCUGACAUCGCGCAGUUAUCUUAACUAGUAGAGUCUUUUAAUAUUUAGGCUGAGUUUUAAGAAAUUUGUAGUGGCAAUAAUAUUCACCAAACCGAACCUAAUUAACGACCCUGAAUCCCUUGAGAUUGGCACUAUUACAGUAGUUAUUAUAAUAUCGUAAUUGUUAACUAUAUAGGAGCAUACGAGAUAAAAAUAAAUUGUGUCAAUUGA